rnacentral:rRNA from 1 species
GACGAACCGAGCGAACGUUAUUCGGAAUCACUUGGGCUUAAAGGGCGCGUAGGCGGGCCAUCAAGUCAGGGGUGAAAGCCUCCAGCUCAACUGGAGAAGUGCCUCUGAUACUGGUGGCCUCGAGGGAGGUAGGGGCGUGCGGAACUUCCGGUGGAGCGGUGAAAUGCGUAGAUAUCGGAAGGAACACCGGUGGCGAAAGCGGCGCGCUGGACCUCUUCUGACGCUGAGGCGCGAAAGCCAGGGGAGCGAACGGG